AGCGUCGCGUAGUUGAUGACGUCAUCCGCAUGCGUCCAGCGCGCUGUAUUUCAUUUUUGUCGCAGAAAGAUAAUGACUGGGAGUAAAAUGGCGAUAAAAGCGUUGGAGAGCCGCUAUGUCCUACUUGAAUGGACUGAGGGUGAGGAUAGAGGGGUCCAUAGUAUUUUGCCCCUCGGCUGUGUCCGGAAUUUUUCAGUUAGAGACUUUUUUGAAAGGACUAAUAAAACCGAGAAGCUGGAAUGGUGAAAAGGCCGCCAACCGGCCGAUGCACCGAGCCAGAAUUAUUCGCGUGGCAAAACUUGAAAAAACUCUCCAAAUUAAACUGAUCGAGAUGGAGAAAGAUGGCACACAAUGGCAAAUAAAACGUCCUCACAUCAAAGUACAGUGAGCAGCAGGGGCCGAAUGAGAAGGCUUCAACGUAAAAGGUUGACAAUAAAAAGGGAGGGGCUUCCAAAUACAAGCACCAGGAGGAGGGUCAUGACAGACUUUCAAAGAAUGAGUAAAGCUGCUUUGUGACAAUGUGAACCUCCCCUGCUCCUGUCGAAACUAAUUUUUUCCAGCAUGACCAGCAUGAUUGCUCCUAUUCUGACCUCAAUGUGCAAUGGACAGUGGGCUUAUAAAAGCCUAGCACAGGUCUUUGGUGGAACAAAAAUCUAAUUUGAACAUGAAAGUGGCCAUGAGCAAUCUGGCAGACUUCUGUCUGUAUGAGCUAAACUGCCUAUCAGCUGCCUAGUGAAGAAAACUACACUAAGUUAUGUAUGUAACCCGGUUCACUGAGAAGGGAUGAUGCUAUGGGAAUGCUUCUUUUAGGAAGUUGCCUCUGAAGCUCAGUGUGCACAUGCCAAUUCAAUGGCUCGAUAAGGACAUGUGACAAAGUGAUUAUGCACCAGCAAGUCACAAUACUCCAGCUUCUAUUUGUCUGAAGGAAGCACGAGAGGAUGAGAGGCCAGCGAUGCAGAAUCUCGUUCCCUUCUCAGUAGUUCCCUUUCAAUUGAACUCGAUGCUGCAUCAGGGUUGACGCUAGGUUCAAUACCGAUGCUGCCACACACCAUUUGUUGACUGUGCCAGAGGUCAUGAAAGAGCUUGAGCAGACUGGAAACUGAACAUCAACAGCCCUGCAGGACCUGGAACCCUGGAGUUGGGUCCAGGACCAGGUUAUAGAACCUGAUAAAGGGUGCUAAGAGGACCAACCCACCUUAAAUAUAAUCACACCCCUGGCCAAGGCACUGGACGAGGCGAUACCCCUAGUGGAGUGAGCACUGAUCCCGAGAGGUGAGGCAAGACCGCAUGCCUCAUAGGCCUGAGUAAUGGCCUCCACUACCCAGUGUACCAGGCGCUGCGUGGAAACCGGAUUUCCACUGUUCUGAGUCCCAAAACAGACAAACAAGGAUGACGAGUUAGAUGAGCGAUAGACAUAAGUCCUCAAGGCCCUUUCUGGACAAAGCAAAUGCAGAGCAAAUUCUAGGGAUGUGUGGGUGAUCGACAUGGCCUGAAAUUCUCACAGUCUUUUAAGAGAGGCCAAGGCUAGAAGCAUAGCCAUCUUCAGGGUCAGAAACUUCUCAGAGGCUGACUUCAUGGGCUUAAACUGGGCUUCCAGCAUCCCCUCCAGGACCACAGUGAGGUCUCAGGAAGGAAGGCGCGGUCUGCAGGAAGAUCUCAGCCGCCUGACACCACAAAGAAAGCAAGAGACCAGAGCAUGCCUACCCAAGGACACCUCGAGGACAGGUUUGUUGUUCAAAGCUAUGGCAGCCAUAUACACCUUUAAAGUAAAUGGGCACAAACCCCGAGAAAAGCAAGACUGCAAUAACUCCAGCACUGUACCGACACCUACAGUGGUGUGAAGAAGUGUUUGCCCCUUUCUGAUUUUUGUAUAUUUUUGCAUGUUUGUCACACUUUAAUGUUUCAAAUCAUCAUUAUGCGUUUUGUGGCAUAAUCUCCUGUUAAGGCCGAAAUUAACUUAAAUUACACAUUCAGUUUCGAUCGUACAGAUAAGAGCAAUACAUCAAUUGAAUCUGUGAAGGGUCUACUUUUAUAUGCAUACACACAUAAUAACAACAAAUCACUGUCCUUUUGUAGAAUAAAGAAAAUAUGCAGAGUGCGUUCUCUGCCAUCUCGGUCUCUGUCAUCACUCUUCACAGAUACAUAAAUAAAACAACCAGAAUCUCAGCGAAUACUUGCCUCAAAUACAAGAUAAAUAUAUGCAUGGAAAGCUUGAAAUGUCUACUUUUAAAUAAGCGAAUUCAAGUCAAAAACAAAUAAUCUAUUUUUAUGUAAUCCAUAAGAAAGUAAGGAGUGGUCCGGUUUCUCCUGUUUCGCCUAAUUAUAGCUAAUGUGUUCCUGCCUCCCUCUGAGCGCGCUGUUCAUAUGCAAAUGAACUGAGGGUAUUCAGGUAAUCACAUGCAUGCCCCCGAGACACAGGAAUGACUCGGUACAUGAAAUCCGGACCUGUGUGCUUGGAAAUGCCUUGGAAAUGCCAGGGAGGUGAUGUUCACUUGUGUGUUCAGCUGAAAAGGAACUGUUUCCUAGAGUGGCACAAAGAUGUAUAACUGUAUAAUUCUGAGUACUAUGUGACAGAGUAGGUUAGUGGGCUUCUACAAACCUUACACCCUUUUUUAUCGUUCAAAGUUUUGCCCUGAUUGUGUCUUCU